GACGCCGCCAAGGCGCCAAGGCCACUUCUACGACAAGUACUACAGUCAUGACACUGACCCCGACAUCCGGCCUCCUCCUCCCCGCUGCGAGGAGAACCACCAGGUGUGCCAACCCCGUUUCCCUUCCUGCUGUGCGGAAGCUGAAUGGAGCACCAACCCAAACCUUCGACGAUGACUGCUUGUGCUGAUUAUCACAAAAACAAGGAGUCACCCACGCCAGCUGAGGCCAAUCGCUGAACAGCAAGUUACUUGACAUCAUGGUGUGCAGGGUCAUUGACAAAAUGAAUUGGAGUAACUCAUGCAUGAUGCCAAUCUCCAAAUAGCAAGGUACCCAGGUCCACAACAUGUUGAACACUAGGGUGCGAUGACCUCAAGCUGGAGCCUAUGUCAUUUGGCCUGCAUGAAUUGCUGGUCGCAUUGAUAGACCUGCUAAUUAGAUGAGAUGUGCCUCAUGCUGCAAUGAGCCUCGAAGAUGAACUCAUUGCCUCAAGACCAUUAGUGCUUAAAUUUCUACUCCAUAUUUUGGGGUUGUACAAUGAUGUAAGGGAAAUACAAUUCGAACAGAUGAACCCUUUUUGGUUUCAUGCCCUUAUACAAGUUCCUUCUUCAAGUCUAGCUACUAUGUUCAUUGCAGUUCACUGGCCAACCAGUGACUUGAGGUGACAGUGGUUAGCCAGCCUUUUGCUAUUAGCUUUUCCAGUUUAUAAUUACUGUUAUGGUCGAGGUGUAUUUGGGAUAACUAGGCCUUAUGCUUUGCCAAGAGCUUUGGGAUAACUAGGCCUUAUGCUUUGCCAAGAGAUUGAGGGAGACUAGAAUUGUUUCUUCAUAAUUCAUUGCUUGCUUUCCAUUGUGCUCCAUGGGCGGAAUAUAAAAGGCUGUUGAAUUUGAAUCUGUGACAUAAUUGUCCAUGCCUUUACCUCACUGGAAAAUGGAAUAAUGAUUUUCUGGUGCUAUGGAUAGUCCUAGAAGACAUUGGUGUUUGGUACACUAAUUUGCACAGCAAUCAAAAGAUAUUUCUUGUUAGUUGACAAUGCAAAGGAUUGAUGAGUUGAUGGGCAUUACACAGGUGCUGGUCCUGUGUGUGCUGAGGUCAGAUUACUUAUUUAUUGCCUGAGUUAUUUAUAUGAUUUCCUUAGUGCACUGGUCAAAUAACACAGAAAUACUGAAACUGACAUUUUCCUGUACAUGUCUUUACCUAUUAUCUUUACAUAGAUUGUAUGGUUGCAGCACUUGGAGAAUUUGGCACUGAGAAAACAACCACUCAAAACAUUCCCUUGUUACCCAUGUUACAGUACUUUCUCCUAUGUGUUCUGUCGGUACUAAAACACACCUUUUCUUUUGUGAGUAUUUUUAGGGUCCUUUGUGAUGGGAAAUAUGGAUUUUUGUUUUUGUUCAGCCAAACCAUCAUUGUUAGAAAUUUAGAGCAGCUUAUCCUCCUUCCGUGACUACCACGGCAUUACCUAUGUUCGUUUGGAACAUCUGACAUGCCAUAGUUUUUUAUACAACAUUUUUAUUUAUUUGUGAUCUAUUCCUUUCUUGUUUUCUGACUACCUCUCUAAUAACUGUCAUCCAUGUUAUAAUUUUAGGCAACAUUGCUUUUCCAAGUUGCUUUCAGAACAUAUGCAGGAUGUUGUCACCGAAUAUUGUUUGCAUUGUGCAUGGUUUCAGAACCAUAUCCUGCAUUCAGCAUGCAUCAAUAAAGUGGUCAUUACAAACCAUCCCAUUCUUUCCGCCAGAUUUUAUUUUAGCAACCUACUAAAAACCAUGGUACUUGAAAAGAAAAAUGUCACUCUGUUUCCUUUAUUUGAAAUGUCACUCAUGUUCCUCAUUGCUUUCAAAUAUAUACUUUGACUUUUCUUUCAAUCUCUGCCCUUGUCACGCAUUCCUACAAAAUGGGAUAUUUCAAAAUAACAGAGAAUUUGAGUGCCAUCUUCCCAGGUAGAGUAUUGAGUAUUGUUUUCCUCCAAAAUCUGUUUGUUUGGAGUGGCACAGCCGCACAGAUCUACUCUUGGCUCUCUGGCUUUUCUGGAAACAAUCCUUUAGGAUACACCCAUCUUUGCUAACUGAUGAACUUUGCUGCAGACAACACGUGUGGUGUUCCCAAAAUGUCAUACAAAUGUCCUGCCAACACUUACUCCAGCUACACAUAAUUCUCAGACCUAUGGUUCACCCAGAUAUGUUGCGGGUAGUCUAAGCAACAGAAUGUCCUCAGAUGUUGAGACUCUGAGGUCUGUCUCAUGAUUUUAGCAGUGUUUCCUUUCGUUGCAGUUUAGGAGAUUUUAGGCAGAUCCAAAAAAUAUGACGAGCCUACAGAAUGAUAUGGUGUAUGCAGGGUUUAGAUCCAUCUGAUCGAAUGGGUAUGGAAGAAUUAUCUUCUCAAAUUUAUUCUCACCACCGUGUUGUCCUUUAAUUGAUGUUGGUGAUUGACCUCUUAAAUUUAUUUGGCCAUAGGCUAUUGAAGAUGAAAUUAGCACAGAUCUUUGUCAACCAGUGUCGCUGAAAUCAAUAAACUUCUGCAGUUUGUGAGUUCACAGAUCUACUGUUGGUUCCGAGCACAUGCCCUAUUCCCAAAGA